rnacentral:rRNA from 1 species
UGAAUCCUACGGGGGGCAGCAGUGAGGAAUAUUGGUCAAUGGGAGAGAUCCUGGACCAGCCAAGCCGCGUGAGGGAAGACGGCCCUAUGGGUUGUAAACCUCUUUUGUCGGAGAACAAAACCCGGGACGUGUCCCGGACUGCGUGUAUCCGAAGAAAAAGCAUCGGCUAACUCCGUGCCAGCAGCCGCGGUAAUACGGAGGAUGCGAGCGUUAUUCGGAUUUAUUGGGUUC